AGAGAAUAUGUGUAAGAGAAAUAGAGAGAGAGAGAGGAGAGACUAGUUUACCAGAGAACAAGCAAUUAUCACCUUUUGCGUGAAGUAAGCGGAUUGCCGGGAUUACACAGGGUGUUGGAUAUCGCCAAGGUCCUAGAGAAGCAACAUCGGAUAUAUAGGCGGUUCGAAAAAAUAUAUGGUUUUCAUCUUUCUGCGCAAAAUUCUUUAUCUAAAUCCUUGCUGGACCAGCAAAAAAAAAUAUUGGAACAUUGUCAGCUGUUCUGACACGAAAGGUCGAAUCCUAAAGAAAUGGAAAGAAAAAAAAAUGACUAGACUUCUUCACACCUGUACGAGCCAUUGGAACUUACGCCAUUGAAAUUUGCGCAGUGAAAUAAAGCUGAUAAACACAGAUUACACCUGUACAAAAAACAAUAAUGACCACCGUACUCAAAUCUUGUCAAUCAGAUUUUCACUCCAUCUUCACUUUACAUGAAAAACGGAAGGGUAUCCUGCCAUUGAAGCCUCCUAGGUUAGGCUUGAGCAUGAAAGUUUUUGCGAUUGGCAGGAAGGUGCCACUUGGAGUGCCACGAUAAUUCUGCAUAUCUAAUCAUAAAAAAAAAACCUUUUCACGUCGUCCAGGGCCAUGUUGCUUUAUCAUCGAGGUCUCGAGUGUUAUGAUAAGGGAGACGGGUUCGUGCUUUCCCGGAAAAGGCAAAUCUGGCCCGGGUUAAAUCCCUUAAUAACUAGACAUACUAACGCCAGGCUCUAAGGAGAAUUACUUCUAACGCUUCUAUAAAGCAUCUCUGUGCCCUCAGAAUACGUAUAACGAAUGUCCUUGUGGUAAGACUCUGGCUUCGCGCGAUGAAGUUUUGUGAACUGCAUAUUUAUAAAAUACAUUUCGUUGCCACAAAGGUGUGUACAGCGCCUAUGGUAAGACAGUUAUUUAUUGGCGUAAUCAUUAACGCCGCUAAAUAGCUCGACGAUUAAUUAACCAAUUGUUUCCGGAGAACGUGUAAUUAGACGCGUGCAGGCACGCUGACCCAUCGAGCAAUCAAUAACUAAUAGGGCUGCGCUGCAUACGAUCAUUGAAGUCUUAGAAAAGGACGUAAUGAAUUACUUACAAGGUAUGCAUUAAAACAUGAGACAGAACGUUAGAGUUUCAUCCAGAAGAUGGUAGAGGAUGAAGAAAAAGGAGGUCGCAGAGAUCUAACAGGAUUUUUGGACGAAUGUCAGUUUAAGAGGUGAGACUAUGGAAAAGCUUUAAAAAAAUGUGAAAAUAAUAUUACCUUGCGGUAUUUUAAUUGUUUUAGGUGUGUCGCGCUUCUGUUCUCUCUCAAGAUUGUGACUACUGUAACAAGGCGAAUUUUAAUGUCUACUACGACGUUUGGCUACUAAAACUUUCUGUAUCUAAGAACACAGUCGCUUCUUCUGAAAGGCUUGCGACAGUAGAAAAGCAGCUGAUAAUUUAAACAGACGAUAUCUCUCCAUCGUCAAUGCGAAUAACAAUGCGUACUAGUUUAUCGUGUACUGUAUUGUAGGGUAACAUUAUAAGUUAUUUAGAAGUAAAGUGCGUUAGCCGUAAUCGUGAUACGGGGCUAGGCACUAAUAUAUAGUGAAUACGGUUUCAUUAGGUUCGGUAUACUAUUGUUAAAAUUAAUCAAUUAAGUGCGAUAGCGGUUCAUUACCCCGAAUGACUGUCCAGUCUGUAGACGUGUAAUUUUGCUCCGACGAGCAUAUGCGGAAUAGGUCAUUGAAAAAAUGAAAAUCUCUUUAGUACGAUUCAUUAGAGUGUAAUGGUACUUACUACUAAUGGGGUAGGGUGGAGUAAUGUAUUGUUUUAAUGAGAAAUGGAAUAAGUAAAUACAAUGUAUCGCUGAGCGGAUUACCGACCAGUCUCAAUAGAAGCUUCUGACAAUUCGUUGGAGUUUAUCAUACGGAAGAUUGGACUUUAGGUUUGAGGGGUAAUUAACUGUAAAAUGUUACCUGGGGUACGUUACGUCUCUCUGCGACCCCGUAAAUACAUGACUUUACGAACACCUUCAUACACACACCCUCUGGUCCUGUCUGACGCCGUGUAAUUUUCCAGUUUUAAGUAUAGUCUGCUUCGGCCCGGAAACUUUUUAACGCCCUCAAGUAAAAAACAAGAGCACAAUAAUAAUCUGGCCCAAAGGUCAUUGCCGUAGGGAAAAUCUUUUGAAAAGUAGCUACACUAUUGUGCCUGUAACUGGAAUCGGAGCAAGAUCAACGUUAACAUCCAGCAGCCGUGCAAUUCCUUCCUGCUAGGAGGAACACCUGACUUGAAUGGUAGUGGGAUGUACGACUGGGUAUGAAAACGUGCAAAAAAUUGUAUAGAAGGAAAAAAAGAAUACAAGCAGCCAGUUGGCUGAGGAAUUUUUCGCAGAGCUCUCUGUACUACGGUAUAAAGUAUUCCUCUCCAUAUCUAUUAAGCACACAAUAAAUAUUCGUUCUAUGCUUCUUCUUGAGAUGAUAUCGAUGUAAUAACUUUGUAUUAUUUCAGGAUUCGGAUGUGUCAGGACGAUUCCGCAGAAAGAGUAAUGGCUCCGUGAUAUUACGUUGAAUUGAUUUCUGAGAUUUUUAAUAGGAAACUUGAAAAAUUCACCAAGAAAUACUGUACUGGCGCAGUACGGCAAAAUUUUUUUUCUCUUGCCUGAACUUAAUUGGCCAUUGUCACUCUAUAAUGUUUACGGUAUGGUAAUAUCCAUAUAUGGACGAAGUAAUAAAAUAGAACAAAGGCCGUGUCUAUGUUUACCACUGAUGCAAUUUUGCACGAGCUACUCGCGCUGUGUUUAUAACGCUUGUAAUAGUGUCAGGUGUGUUUUUGGCUCGAGUGAAUUUAAUCGAGUUGGCUUAACAGCGGCUGUGGGCAACGUUUGAAAUGAUAAGAGUUUAAAAAAUAGGAAGCGUGCGAAAGGCGAAGCAAGACCAAGAUGAGAGAGAAGAUUAAGGCCUCCCAUUUACUAUAAAUAUCAUUUAAUCUAAAGGUCCAAAGGAUACCGUGGAUCAUUAAGACCGGGUUGCCGUCUCCAUGAUAAAAGAGAGAGGGAGGAUGAUAAAUUGAAACUGUACGUCCGUCCUUUUCACAUGGAUAAUCAUAUUCAAAUGGAAGAGACGAGGGCGUUUAAAAGGAGGAAAAAUAAAAAGAAAAAAGGGCCACUCGAAUCGCACGCUAUAAGGAAGAGAAAAGGAAGUAAACCCGGUAUUCUCAAUGGAGUUCCCAUUUAUUGCACACAAACAUUUAUUCAACGUAGAUAAACUUUAAAGUUCCAAGCUGGCAAUAAACCCACGAGUAAUCGUAAAACCAAAGAAGAAGAUCAGAAACCGUAAUACACCUGACGUUGGUCGUAUAUUCAAGUUAAAAAAAUAGACUUGCUAUAGAGAAUUACGAUAGCAUUAUUCAUUUAUCAUCGAGGGAUCUCGAUGUUAAUAUCAAAAGUUUAAGUGGAAACAGACAAUAGUCCCCACGAAUCCCAAGGGUGGCCUUCGAUAAUUCAUUAUCUUCAAUGACGUACCAUUGAUAUGAAAUCAAACUCGUGUCAAUUAACAGAACCGAAGACAAUUGGAUACCUAUGAUUGUCUAGUAAAGUGCAACCUGUAGCAAUAGACUGUAGUAAGAAGAAAGGUGGAAAUAGAAAAAAAAACUAUGAAAAUAAGCAGAG